CACAAAUUCAAACAUUCGCAAAGCCUUUUUCUUCUUAUCGUACAUUCGCCAACAAAAUUAUGGGGAAACACAAUUCCAAGUAUGUUGGAGUGCUUCUUAUUCUGAUGCUUGCCUUGGUAUUGGCCCAAGUGCAAUGCCGUAAGCUGCUAGAAGAUGGUGACGAAGGGGAGUAUGACGGUAAUGAUGGCCUUGGCGGUGGUUCUGGUGGAGGAUUUGGCGGUGGUGCUGGUGCCGGUGGUGGAGCUGGUGGUGGUGCCGGGGCUGGUGGAGGGUUUGGAGGAGGUAAAGGUGGAGGUAUAGGCGGUGGUGGCGGUGCUGGAGGUGGUGCCGGUGGAGGGUUCGGAGGAGGUAAAGGUGGUGGAAUAGGUGGUGGUGGAGGUAAAGGUGGAGGAGUAGGCGGCGGUGGUGGUGCUGGAGGUGGGUUUGGAGGAGGAAAUGGUGGAGGUAUCGGCCCCGGAAAGGGUGGUGGCGUUGGAGGAGGCAAUGGUGGAGGCUUUGGAGGAGGUGCCGGUGGUGGAAAGGGUGGCGGCGCUGGUGGUGGAUUUGGAGGAGGCAAAGGUGGCGGAGUAGGAGGCGGUGCCGGUGCUGGCGGAGGCGCCGGUGGUGGUUUUGGAGGAGGCAAAGGUGGUGGAGUUGGAGGCGGCGCCGGUGGUGGCGGAGGCGCUGGUGGUGGCUUUGGAGGAGGCAAAGGUGGCGGAGUUGGAGGCGGCGCCGGUGGUGGCGGAGGCGCUGGUGGUGGCUUUGGAGGAGGCAAAGGUGGCGGAGUUGGAGGCGGCGCCGGUGGGGGCGGAGGCGCUGGUGGUGGCUUUGGAGGAGGCAAAGGUGGCGGAGUUGGAGGCGGCGCCGGUGGGGGCGGAGGCGCUGGUGGUGGCUUUGGAGGAGGCAAAGGUGGCGGAGUUGGAGGCGGCGCCGGUGGGGGCGGAGGCGCUGGUGGUGGCUUUGGAGGAGGCAAAGGUGGCGGAGUUGGAGGCGGCGCCGGUGGGGGCGGAGGCGCUGGUGGUGGCUUUGGAGGAGGCAAAGGUGGCGGAGUUGGAGGCGGCGCCGGUGGUGGUGGAGGCGCUGGUGGUGGGUUUGGAGGAGGUAAAGGCGGCAGAGUUGGAGGAGGUGGUGGGUUUGGAGGAGGCGCAGGUGGCGGCGGAGGCUCCGGUGGGAAUGGAGGAAUUUGAGAUGGUCAUUAAGUGUAAUACAUGAAUGGAUUUUAUAUGUCAUCGGAUAAUGUAAUAUGAAGCUUAUCAAUCAAUAAAAUGAAGUAACGAGUUCAUCUUAAUUAAUCAAUUAUUUUCCAAUUUCUUCCAUUUGCUAAAUUUCAGUAUAUAAUCUACAUUAAUAAAACGUGAA
rnacentral:lncRNA from 1 species